AGCCUUGCGACCCCGCUCCACCCUCCGUACCACGUGGGCCAGGCGCCCCGCAGCCUGAUCCCUCGGCUGAGGCGGGGUCAGAGGGCUAAGGGUGACUGACUGCCCAGUGCAUGGAUCUCAGCAGCACGGCUUGACUUUCGGGCGGCAGGCAAGGAUGCUAAUCCACAAGGUUCCUGAGUCCAACAUCCCUCCCUCCAAUGUGGGGCUCGAAUCCGCUAUUGCAACCAAACCCGGGUUCUGCCCGCAGGGUGGCGCAAUGACAAGAGCCACCAGGUGACCCUGGUAACUCCCGCACCUAGACCUACAGGAGCAGUUUUUCUGCAGCACCACAUCUGUAGCCCUGCAUGCCGCUGGCUCCAGUGUUGUGUGUGUGGUCAUGCUCCAUCCAGCCCAGCAGCAACUUUGGUGUUUGACACCCCUCGGGAGGCACCGCUUUGGAAGAGACUGGUGUGUGCGGAGCCCAAGAUGUGUUGGGAACAGCUAUCGUUUCUACUGCUUUGUCCCAUGCCUCUGGAGCUCCUGGGUUCCUGAACUUCAAGCUGGGCCCCAUCCUUCACCCUAUCAGGGCCCUGGGUGGAGCUGACUUCCAACAGUAUACAGUGGGUCUUGGUACUUCCUCCUUGGCAUUCGACAGUUGGUGUUUUUGAAGUCAGAGCCAUCCUCAGUAGGCUCCUAGGGGAUCGUAAGCGGCUUUCUCUGGGUGGAAACCUACUCCAUGCAGCCUUCAGCAAAGGAUCCUACGGCUGUUGAUCCCCUCGGAAGUGAGACAUAAUGUCCCGGAGCAGAUGCUGAUGGGGACUCACUGUUGGGCCACCUGAUUUCUGUGUUCAUCUUCCCAGGCUCCACCUUUCAGAUCCCAUCCCUGGUGUCUGCAGUUACAACUUUACUAACCAGAACUUUGUUUCCAGCUUACGCUGAAAAGCAAAGGGUGACUUAGAAUAAAAAUGUAACAAAUAGCCCCAUAGCCCAAACCUUUUCUGCCAUGAUUUACUGUACCAGAUACCUAUAAGUGUCCAGGGCAAAUUAAACACAUCAAUAAAUGGCUUUCUUGUGUCUGUCCUGCA
rnacentral:lncRNA from 1 species